ensembl:lncRNA
CGCGCAGGUCCUUCGCCGCCCUCCUCCCCCGGAAACCGAGCGUGCGCUAGGAGUUCCGCAGGACAGUUCUGUUCCGGACCCAGCGCUCAGACUGCGCGCCGCCACCGGGGGGCAUCAGGCCUCGCUGGGGAUUCAGUGGCUGAGACCCCGAAACUCCGAGCCCGGACGCUUACCUGUGCGCGAUAGGUGGGCGUGGUGAGCGACCCAGAGCUUCAGGGCCCCCAGGGCGGCCGGCCUGCCUGCCACCCACCGCUUGGUCUCCGCAGGGAAACAGAGUCCCACAGGCGCCGUCGCCCCCUGCCCUCCAUGGGUUCGAUCCCGGCCACUCGGGUGAAGCGCUUGCUUCCCUAAAAGAAUACAAGGAUUUCUGAGGCGGGGAGGGGAUGCGGAAAGGCGUCUUCUGUUUUGUCAGCGAUGACAACUUCUAGCGCGUGGCUUAACUUUCAGUUGUGCCUGGUAGAGAAGAUGAAUCACAGAAAGGCUAAUAUUUGGCUCAAGGUCAUACAAAAUGCUAAUACAGCAUCUGGGUUCAUUGGAAACACCGGAGAAUGCAGAAAAUUCCAGGACUCCCGAAACUGGCAUGUGUCCCUUAAAACACUCUGAAUUAAGCACCUGCAGCAGCCACACCAAAUCUUUCAUUUCAUAGCUUUGUGGACACUGCGAGAAUUCAGCUCCCAUUCUUAAAAAUUCAAAGAUGUACUAAUCCCUCAAACACAUGUUAAUAUGGAUUUUCUUUGAUGAAAAGGAACAAAUUUUACAAAAAAAAAGUUCGCAAAAGUAAACUUUUUCCUCGGUCCUUCAUCCUAUUUCAGAGCAAGAAAACCUAUUAGACUAAUAGCAAGCUCAUUUUGAGUCUUUUAGGAGGGGGCUUAUUGUUCCUUGGGAGUAGAGUUUGAGUUGAUUAAGGUAACGCUCCUUUGCUGAAACAAGAUACUUUCCUUCAGAACCUCUUCCCCUUAAUUAUGUGUAAUUUUUUUUUUCUGUUCCUUCAUUGUUGUUUUAAAUUCUCAACCUGGCCCACCUUACUACUCAUCCCUUAGCUUUGACACUUGCCUGCCUUCCUUCCCCUCCCCACCAUCCAAUCUUGACCUGUCCUGGGAAGAAGACACAGAUGGGUCCUGAUCACCCCAAAGCCACCUACAGCCACUGACUAACUCCUGAAAUGUAGUAUCGUGAGAGGGAAAAAGCCAGAUUCGAUCCCAGCUCUUUCCUUUGUAGCCCUAUAACCUAAAUCAAGCUGAAUUAUAAUUUACUUAUCCAUACUCUCUCUUGCUCUCUCGCCCUCUCUCUCGCUCUCUCGCCCUCUCUCUCUUUGCUGUACACUUAAGAUAUUUAAAAUAUUUUGCUGCAGUGAGCAUCUGUCUAUGUAAUAUCUGCGCACUGGUGUAAGUAUUUCUUCAGAAAAUGUUCCUAGCAAUGGAACUGCUUGGUCAAGUUUACAUGCAUAUGGCAUUUUGAUAGAGACUGCCGAAGUGUCCAUCAAAGCCAUUACCACACAAGACAUAGCAGAAAUAUGUUUCUUUUAGAUAACAGUUGUGAAUAUUAUCCUGGUGGCAAAAGGCGACACUUUCAUGCAUCUUUGCAUUUGUGACUGAACUCAAGAGUCACACCCUCUAAUCUUCUGCCUUUUCUGUUUCAUAUUCAAGGCUUGAUCAAACCCGGCCUGGCACUUAUCUACUGGGGUCAUCACGGAGGAUACAAACCCAGAGCCCAUAAUUUCAACUGCUUGUCAAUCUCUCAUCCAAAGGGCUGGAUUUUAUCUCUAAAUCCUUUUAUUACCUUUUCCAACACAAAUGCAUAACUAUAAUUAGAAUGAGUUGAUCUAGCUGGACCUUUCUUAGUACUUUCCUCUUGAUUCCCUGUCUCCUAAUUGUUUUUACAUUUUUUAUUGUUGUUUUACAUUGCACAAACACCGUAGUCUCCCUGUCAAAAUUGAAACAUUAAGAAUAUUUAGGGAGUAAAGCAUAAAAGUCUUCCUUCUUCAUCUUGUUGUACUAUCUAUACAUCUAUAGCUGUAUCUCAGAUAUUAUUUUGUAACCCAUUAUUUAAUAUCUAACUGUUCCAUACUGAUGUUAUUUGAGUUGCUCAAACUAAUUCGUAAGUAGAAGUGGUAAGGCAAUGAAAUACAAGGACAAGAAGAAUCAAGAAAAAGUAACUCCCUGAACAAUUCUCUCUGUGACAACUGUGGGAGUAUUUUGAUAACUGUUGGCAACAGGACACUGCAUGUGACGUGGGGAGGGAAAUCUUGGCAUUCAAACAAGCAAAUGGUUUGGCGACAGUUUAUUAAAUUUCUGCCAUGCUUGCAAAUGCCAGUAGCAAUUUCUCAGACUGCAGAAUUGCUACACAUGACAGGUUUGAAAAUGUUUCACAAUCGUCAUCAAAUAAUUCAUCCUUCAAAAUUAAAAAUUAUAUGAACUCUGAAUAAUCAUCACUUCUAAAACAAAUGUUCUGCUGGAGUUUAUGUAUUUCAUUUGUGCAUUUUGAAUGCUUCUCUGCUAUAGAAUGAGGAAAGCAAAGCAUCCAGAUAAAAUGAUAUGUAAUUCAGUCUUACCAGGAGAUUUCUAUCAGACUAUUAAAUCUUCUUCGGGCAAAAAUAGUCCUCGUUACUAAAUCUUCUUCAGGCAAAAAUAGUCCUGGCUUCUUCUUUUAUUUAUAGCUAUAAAUGCCUACCUUUUAAAAGACUUUAACAUUACACUUGAAGGAGCUAAAAUAAGAAGAGAAAACUAAACCCAAAGCUAGUAGAAAAAAGCAAAUUAUAUAGAUUCAAGCAAAAACCAAUGAAAUAGAUACUAGAGAAACAAUACAGAAAAUCCAAACAAAAAGUUGAUUUUUUGAGAUGUUAAACAAAAUUGGCAACUCUUCAGCUACUGACAAAGAAAAGAGAAUAUAUAAAUUAUUAAAAAUCAGUAAUGAAAGUGGUCGCAUCACUACCAAUCUUACAGAAAUAAAAUGGAUUAUAAGGAAAAUGAUGAACAACUGUAUGCUAACAACUUAGAAAACUUGGAGGAAAUGGCCAAAUUCCUAGAAAGAUACAACUACCAAAAGUGGAGUGGAAGAAAUAGAAAGUCUGAAUAGGCCUACACGAAAUAAAGUACUCAAAUUAGUCAUUUUAAAAUUUUCCACCAGAAAAAGACCAGGUCCAGAUGGCUUUACUGAAAAGAUCUGCAAAACAUUCAAAGGAGAAUUAAUACCAGUUCCUUACAAACUCUUUCAAAAGGUAGAAGAAGGGGGAACACUUUCUAACUCACUUUAUGAGGCCAGAACUAGAAUUACCCUGAUGCCAAAACCAAAGGAAUCACAAGGGAACGGAACAAAGUAAAACUACAGACCCACAGCCCUUAGGAAUAUAGAAGCAAAACUCCUCAACAGAAUAUUAGCAAACUUAACCCAGCAACAUAUACAAACAUUUUAACAUAUCAAUGUAAUCAACGUGUAAUAUGCCAUGUAAUAGAAUAAAGAAUAAAAACUACAUGAUCAUCUAAAUGAAUACAAAAAAGAUGUUUUACAACAUCCAACACCCUUUCAUGAUUUAAAAAAAAUGCUCAAUAAAUUAGGCAUAGAAGGGAAAUUGCUCAACCUCAUAAACAUUCAACAAACUAGGAAGAAGCAUGAAAAGCAGUGACAUGCCCAACAUCAUUAACCUCAAGGAAAUGCACAUAAAAGCACAAUGAGAUACUACUUUAUACCUGCUAGGAUGGCUAUAACAAAAGAGGCAGAUAUUAACAAGUAUUAGUGAGGAGGUAGAUAUAUUGGAACCCUCACACACUGCCUGUGGGAAUGUUAAGUAGUAGAGCUUCUUUAGAAAACAGGCUGGCAUUUCUUCAAAAUGUUGAACAUGGAGUUAUCAUAUAACCUAGCAAUUCAAUUUCUACAUAAAUACCAAGAGAGUCCAGGUACAGUGGUUCAUAUAUAUAGUUCCAGCACUUUGGGAGGCUGACGCGAGAGUAUCACUUGAGCCCAGAAGUUUGAGACCAGCCUCGGCAACAUAGUGAGACUCUGUCUCUUAAAAAAGAAAAACAGACCAGGCACGGUGGCUCAUGCCUGUAAUCCCAGCACUUUGGGAGGCCGAGGCAGGUGGAUCACGAGGUCAAGAGAUCAAGACCAUCCUGGCCAACAUGGUGAAACCCCGUCUCUACUAAAAAUACAACAACAAAAAAAUAGCUGGGCACGGUGAUGCGUGCCUGUAAUCCCAGUACUCAGGAGGCUGAGGCAGGAGAAUUGCCUGAACCCAGGAGGUGGAGGUUGCGGUGAGCCGAGAUUGCGCCAUUGCACUCCAGCCUGGGUAACAAGAGCAAAACUCCAUCUCAAAAAAAAAAAGAAAGAAAGAAAAAAAGAAGAAGAAAAACAAAACCAAGAGAAAUGAAAAUGUAUGUCUAUAUUAAAAAUAGUACAUACAUAUUCACAGCAGUAUUAUUCAUAGUAGACAAAAAGUGGAAAUAAACCAACUGCCCAUCAACUGAUGGAUGGGAAACAGAAUAUGGUAUAUCCAUACAACGUAAUAGUAUUCACAAAUAAAAAGAAAUGAAGUACUGAUAUAUGCUAUGACAUGGAUGAAUCUGGAAAAUAUUAUGUUAAAUGCAAGAAAUCCAUCACAAAAAAAAACAUGUAUCGUAAUAUUUCACUUCCAUUAAAUGUACAGAAUAGGGAAAGCUACAGAGACAGAAAGUAGAUAUGUAGCUGAUUAAGACUGGAGAAGUGGGCUGGGAAACAGGGAUUGACUGCUAAUGGGUACUAGGUUUCUUCUAGGAGGGACCAAAAUGUUCUAAAACUACAUGCAGUGAUGGUUGCACAUCCCUGUAAAUAUAUUAAACAAUAUUAUAUUUACACUUUAAAUGGGCGAAUUGUAUGGUAUGUGAAUUACAUCUCAAUAAAGCUGUUAAGAAAAUUUCUGACCUGUUUGGCUGAACUUCAGAGAGGAUGCCUAAUUGCUAGUCUGUUAGUCAUGACGCUUGCC